rnacentral:rRNA from 1 species
GGCGGCGUGCUUAACACAUGCAAGUCGAACGAUGAAGCCCUUCGGGGUGGAUUAGUGGCGAACGGGUGAGUAACACGUGGGCAAUCUGCCCUUCACUCUGGGACAAGCCCUGGAAACGGGGUCUAAUACCGGAUAUGAGCCUGGGAGGCAUCUCCCGGGUUGUAAAGCUCCGGCGGUGAAGGAUGAGCCCGCGGCCUAUCAGCUUGUUGGUGAGGUAAUGGCUCACCAAGGCGACGACGGGUAGCCGGCCUGAGAGGGCGACCGGCCACACUGGGACUGAGACACGGCCCAGACUCCUACGGGAGGCAGCAGUGGGGAAUAUUGCACAAUGGGCGAAAGCCUGAUGCAGCGACGCCGCGUGAGGGAUGACGGCCUUCGGGUUGUAAACCUCUUUCAGCAGGGAAGAAGCAGAGUGACGGUACCUGCAGAAGAAGCGCCGGCUAACUACGUGCCAGCAGCCGCGGUAAUACGUAGGGCGCAAGCGUUGUCCGGAAUUAUUGGGCGUAAAGAGCUCGUAGGCGGCUUGUCACGUCGAUUGUGAAAGCCCGAGGCUUAACCUCGGGUCUGCAGUCGAUACGGGCUAGCUAGAGUGUGGUAGGGGAGAUCGGAAUUCCUGGUGUAGCGGUGAAAUGCGCAGAUAUCAGGAGGAACACCGGUGGCGAAGGCGGAUCUCUGGGCCAUUACUGACGCUGAGGAGCGAAAGCGUGGGGAGCGAACAGGAUUAGAUACCCUGGUAGUCCACGCCGUAAACGGUGGGAACUAGGUGUUGGCGACAUUCCACGUCGUCGGUGCCGCAGCUAACGCAUUAAGUUCCCCGCCUGGGGAGUACGGCCGC